rnacentral:rRNA from 1 species
UACGGGGGGAGCAAGCGUUGUUCGGAUUUACUGGGCGUAAAGGGCGCGUAGGCGGCCUGGUAAGUAGGGGGUGAAAUCCUGCGGCUUAACCGCAGGGCUGCCUUCUAAACUGUCAGGCUCGAGCACGGUAGAGGCAGAUGGAAUUCCCGGUGUAGCGGUGGAAUGCGUAGAGAUCCGGAAGAACACCGGUGGCGAAGGCGGUCUGCUGGGCAGUUGCUGACACUGAGGCGCGACAGCGUGGGGAGCAAACAGG